ACCCUAUUUGUAAACAACCAGUCCUUUUAACUAGGGGCUGCGUCAUAAACACGGCGCGCUUGGAAGACCACGAUGUCAUCUUCCUUCUGUCAGGAGGAUCAAAGUGAAGCUACAGGAGUUUCAUUAACGUCAACAACUUGGACCGAACAGUUUGUUUUGCUUGAUGAAGAGCAGGAAGGGCAGCCUGGAGAGAAAGAGAAGCCGGGUUGAGCCCACUAACAUCAUCCACGUACCACGAGGAAGAUGAGGGAGAGAAAUGAUCCUACCAUUAAAGAGACUGUGAAAAGAACGUUGAGAACAUCACCACUCUACAGGAAGACACAGUCCAGUAAUGGGUGUCAGAAGUUCAGUAGUGAACGACAGAAACAAACAAUCCAAAUUACCUGCAGAAAGCCCUUGAUGGACUUUUCAGCUGCAUCGUCAGACUGGCCAGACAGCAAGGUGCCAACUUUAAUGCCAAUUUAUUUGUGUAACAUUCUGUGACCAAAUGUAUAGAUAACUUUUUGUAGAUUGUAAAAAUAGAUAACCCAUUUAUUACAAAAAAACUACACUAGAAUUACCGCACUGCGUUGUAUGACUCCGCUAACCAGUGCAGUGUCCGUCUACAUAUUUCUACAUAUUUUCUCUCAUAUAAAUGACACUGUAUCUCUUGACAACUGAAACCAUAAGAUGAGGUCAGUGUGGCCUUGACCUUUUUACUUUAAGACAAAUACAAAGUUAGACAAUCCGAAAACAUGCAGUUAUGCCUCCGGCGACUCGCUAUUGCAGAGGCAUUAAAACCGUAGUGUAGUAGAUUGGAUUUUAUUGGUGUUACAUUGGACAUCUUGUAUGGGUACACCAAAAAAUAUAUUUGGUUUCACAUUCUAGAUGGCAAUAAGCUGAGUCAUCAACUCAGGAAAAAUAUUUCUGUAGAAAAGAAAGCCCUGUAUGUGUGUAUGUAUACAUACACACAAACGCACUAUUGAGACGUUUUGUUUUUUAUCAUAUA